rnacentral:rRNA from 1 species
GAUGAACGCUGGCGGCGUGCCUAAUACAUGCAAGUCGAGCGAACAGAUGAGGAGCUUGCUCCUCUGACGUUAGCGGCGGACGGGUGAGUAACACGUGGAUAACCUACCUAUAAGACUGGGAUAACUUCGGGAAACCGGAGCUAAUACCGGAUAAUAUAUUGAACCGCAUGGUUCAAUAGUGAAAGACGGUUUUGCUGUCACUUAUAGAUGGAUCCGCGCCGCAUUAGCUAGUUGGUAAGGUAACGGCUUACCAAGGCAACGAUGCGUAGCCGACCUGAGAGGGUGACCGGCCAACCUGGAACUGCAACACGCUCCCGACUCCUACGGGAGGAAGCAGUAGGGAAUCUUCCGCAAUGGGCGAAAGCUUGACGGAGCAACGCCGCGUGAGUGAUGAAGGUCUCCGGAUCGUAAAACUCUGUUAUUAGGGAAGAACAAAUGUGUACGUAACUAUGCACGUCUUGACGGUACCUUAUCAGAAAGCCCCGGCUAACUACGUG